UGACGGUACCGUAAGAAUAAGGACCGGCUAACUCCGUGCCAGCAGCCGCGGUAAUACGGAGGGUCCGAGCGUUAUCCGGAAUCAUUGGGUUUAAAGGGUCCGUAGGCGGGCCUGUAAGUCAGGGGUGAAAGUUUGUGGCUCAACCAUAAAAUUGCCUUUGAUACUGCAGGUCUUGAGUCAUGGUGGGGUUGCCGGAACAUGUGGUGUAGCGGUGAAAUGCAUAGAUAUCACAUAGAACACCGAUCGCGAAGGCAGGUGACCAACCAUGUACUGACGCUGAUGGACGAAAGCGUGGGUAGCGAACGGGAUUAGAUACCCCGGUAGUCCACGCCGUAAACGAUGGAUACUAGCUGUGGGGACUUCGGUCUCCGUGGCCAAGCGAAAGUGAUAAGUAUCCCACCUGGGGAGUACGUUCGCAAGAAUGAAACUCAAAGGAAUUGACGGGGGCCCGCACAAGCGGUGGAGCAUGUGGUUUAAUUCGAUGAUACGCGAGGAACCUUACCAGGGCUUAAAUGUAGAUUGCAUUAGCUAGAGAUAGCUAUUUCUUCGGACUAUCUACAAGGUGCUGCAUGGUUGUCGUCAGCUCGUGCCGUGAGGUGUCAGGUUAAGUCCUAUAACGAGCGCAACCCCUACCGUUAGUUGCCAGCAUGUAAAGAUGGGGACUCUAACGGGACUGCCGGUGCAAACCGUGAGGAAGGUGGGGACGACGUCAAAUCAUCACGGCCCUUACGUCCUGGGCUACACACGUGCUACAAUGGCCGGUACAGAGGGAAGCCACCCCGCAAGGGGGCGCGGAUCUACAAAACCGGUCACAGUUCGGAUCGGGGUCUGCAACUCGACCCCGUGAAGCUGGAAUCGCUAGUAAUCGGAUAUCAGCCAUGAUCCGGUGAAUACGUUCCCGGGCCUUGUACACACCGCC
rnacentral:rRNA from 12 species